rnacentral:rRNA from 1 species
CACGUAGGAGGCGAGCGUUGUCCGGAAUCAUUGGGCGUAAAGAGCGCGCAGGCGGCCCGGCAAGUCGGGUGUGAAAUCUCGGGGCUCAACCCCGGAACUGCGUCCGAUACUGCCAGGCUAGAGGUAGGUAGGGGAGAUCGGAAUUCCUGGUGUAGCGGUGAAAUGCGCAGAUAUCAGGAGGAACACCGGUGGCGAAGGCGGCAUCCUGGACCGGCAUUGACGCUGAGGCGCGAAAGCUAGAGGAGCAAACGGG